CCUACGGGUGGCAGCAGUGGGGAAUUUUGGACAAUGGGGGCAACCCUGAUCCAGCCAUGCCGCGUGCGGGAAGAAGGCCUUCGGGUUGUAAACCGCUUUUGUCAGGGAAGAAAUCUUCCGAGCUAAUACCUUUGGAGGAUGACGGUACCUGAAGAAUAAGCACCGGCUAACUACGUGCCAGCAGCCGCGGUAAUACGUAGGGUGCAAGCGUUGAUCGGAGUUACUGGGCGUAAUUCGUGAGGACAGGGGUGAAAUCCCCGGGCUUAACCUGGGAACUGCGUUUGUGACUGUACGGCUGGAGUACGGCAGAGGGGGAUGGAAUUCCGCGUGUAGCAGUGAAAUGCGUAGAGAUGCGGAGGAACACCGAUGGCGAAGGCAGUCCCCUGGGCCUGUACUGACGCUCAUGCACGAAAGCGUGGGGAGCAAACAGGAUUAGAUACCCCGGUAGUC
rnacentral:rRNA from 1 species